AGCCAAGAUUGCCCCACUGUACUCUAGCCUGGGCGACAGGGAGACACUUGGUCUCAAAAAAAAAAAAAAAAAACAGGCCGGGCGCCGUGGCUCACGCCUGUAACCCCAGCACUUUGGGAGGCCGACGCAGGAAUCAUUUUCAUAGGCAAGGAAGCUGGGAGAGGGUCCCCCCAUUUCAUAGGCAAGGAAGCUGGGAGGGGGUCCCCCCAUUUCAUAGGCAAGGAAGCUCGGAGAGGGUCCGCCAUUUCAUAGGCAAGGAAGCUGGGAGAGGGUCCCCCCAUUUUACAGGCAAGGAAGCUCGGAGAGGAUCCCCCAUUUCAUAGGCAAGGAAGCUGGGAGAGGGUCCCCCCAUUUCAUAGGCAAGGAAGCUGGGAGAGGGUCCCCCCAUUUCAUAGGCAAGGAGGCUCGGAGAGGAUCCCCCCAUUUCAUAGGCAAGGAGGCUGGGAGAGGGUCCCCCAUUUCAUAGGCAAGGAGGCUCGGAGAGGGUCCCCCCAUUUCAUAGGCAAGGAAGCUGGGAGAGGAUCCCCCAUUUCACAGGCAAGGAAGCUCGGAGAGGGUCCCCCCAUUUCACAGGCAAGGAAGCUGGGAGAGGGUCCCCCCAUUUCAUAGGCAAGGAAGCUGGGAGAGGGUCCCCCCAUUUCAUAGGCAAGGAAGCUGGGAGAGGGUCCCCCCAUUUCAUAGGCAAGGAAGCUGGGAGAGGGUCCCCCCAUUUCAUAGGCAAGGAAGCUCAGAGAGGGUCCCCCCAUUUCAUAGGCAAGGAAGCUGGGAGAGGGUCCCCCCAUUUCAUAGGCAAGGAAGCUGGGAGAGGGUCCCCCAUUUCAUAGGCAAGGAAGCUGGGAGAGGGUCCCCCAUUUCAUAGGCAAGGAAGCUGGGAGAGGGUCCCCCCAUUUCAUAGGCAAGGAAGCUGGGAGAGGGUCCCCCAUUUCAUAGGCAAGGAAGCUCGGAGAGGGUCCCCCCAUUUCAUAGGCAAGGAAGCUCGGAGAGGGUCCCCCCAUUUCAUAGGCAAGGAAGCUGGGAGAGGGUCCCCCAUUUCAUAGGCAAGGAAGCUCGGAGAGGGUCCCCCCAUUUCACAGGCAAGGAAGUUCGGAGGGGGUCCCCCCAUUUCAUAGGCAAGGAAGCUCGGAGAGGGCCAGUGCUUUUUAACGGUCACGCGGUUCUGAGCAUCAGGCUGUCAGCCCGGAGC
rnacentral:lncRNA from 1 species